CAGGACUCUGUGGGCAGUGAGUCGCAGCUGUUGAACCACACUGACUGUGGGAAACAAACAAAACCCUUGUCAAAUCAGGGCCAACUAUUCCUUAAAUCCAAAUUUUUCUUUACAAAUAGAUCAAGAUGCCUGUAGAGACAACUGUGUAUCAUAGCAAAAUCAUUUCUUGUACAGUAGUUGUGGUCAUCGCUUGGCAAGUGAACCUCUGUUGAAGACGUGUGCCGUUCGGGAGCUCUCCUUCUCUUUGGCCUUUGACGAUAGCAAAAUAAGGUGGGUACGGCAUCAGGUUUUAAGCUGAGGCGUCCUUUUUUUGUACAAAUAAAUUGACUGUCCUCAAAAUGCACCUGCAGGGAGACUCUUAAAAUCAGUGUUAAAUGUAUACGCAAGAUAGAAUUGAAAUGUUGUUCUGUCUGCUCUAAUAAAAUGACCUUAUAAAUUUAAACUGUUGUACGUCACAUUUAUAAACAUUUACCUGACAUAUCUUUCUGCUGUUGCAGUUGCCAGUCUUGACAUCAAAAUUUUGUCUGCUGACCAUCGCCAGCCAUCUCUUCUGUCUCUUCUUUUCUUUUGGGAACCCAUACAUUCGAUGGCCCCUCUCUGAGCGGUUGGUGCACCCAAAUGCUGCACAGCCAACCAUCACUGGUCUCACUGUACAAUGGUAAACGUAAAAAUAAUUAGCUGUCAAGCCUCAGAUGCUG
rnacentral:lncRNA from 1 species